AGGCAUGCAAGUCGAGUGGGUUUAGACCCACGGCAGACGAGGUAGGAACACGUAGGUACGUCCCCCAAAGUCACGAAUAACCGGCCGAAAGGUCGGAUAAUACGUGAUGGUCUCUUCGGAGUAAAGAUUUAUCGCUUUGGGAACGGCCUGCGGGCUAUCAGCUAGUUGGUAAGGUAAUGGCUUACCAAGGCUACGACGGCUAGGGGAGGUGAGAGCCUGACCCCCACCGAUGGAACUGCGACACGGUCCAU
rnacentral:rRNA from 1 species